rnacentral:rRNA from 1 species
AUUGAACGCUGGCGGCAGGCCUAACACAUGCAAGUCGAACGGUAACAGGAAGAAGCUUGCUUCUUUGCUGACGAGUGGCGGACGGGUGAGUAAUGUCUGGGAAACUGCCUGAUGGAGGGGGAUAACUACUGGAGACGGUAGCUAAUACCGCAUAACGUCGCAAGACCAAAGAGGGGGACCUUCGGGCCUCUUGCCAUCGGAUGUGCCCAGAUGGGAUUAGCUAGUAGGUGGGGUAACGGCUCACCUAGGCGACGAUCCCUAGCUGGUCUGAGAGGAUGACCAGCCACACUGGAACUGAGACACGGUCCAGACUCCUACGGGAGGCAGCAGUGGGGAAUAUUGCACAAUGGGCGCAAGCCUGAUGCAGCCAUGCCGCGUGUAUGAAGAAGGCCUUCGGGUUGUAAAGUACUUUCAGCGGGGAGGAAGGGAGUAAAGUUAAUACCUUUACUCAUUGACGUUACCCGCAGAAGAAGCACCGGCUAACUCCGUG